rnacentral:sRNA from 18 species
ACCGGGGAUAGCGCGACGGCGCGAAAAGCGGGAAACCUUACCGCCUGCCCCGGUUUAUUUUUAAGGU